GCUGGUGGAGGCAGGAAAUGGCUUCUGUCGUGGCAGGUUUCAAGACCCCCUGCGUAUGUGGGAUGCGCCGCCCCACCCACCAGC
rnacentral:ncRNA from 1 species